GAUUAACGCUGGCGGCGUGCAUAACACAUGCAAGUCGAACGAUGAAACUUACUAGACUUCUUCGGAAAGACACUAAGCGGAUUAGUGGCGAACGGGUGAGUAACGCGUGAGUAACCUGCCUUACACAAGGGGAUAGCCUUUGGAAACGAAGAAUAAUACCCUAUAAAACUAUAAAAGCACAUGCUAGAAUGGUCAAAGUGCUAGCGGUGUAAGAUGGACUUGCGUCUGAUUAGCUAGUUGGUGAGAUAAAAGCUCACCAAGGCAACGAUCAGUAGCCGGCUUGAGAGAGUGUACGGCCACAUUGGGACUGAGACACGGCCCAGACUCCUACGGGAGGCAGCAGUGGGGAAUUUUGCACAAUGGGGGAAACCCUGAUGCAGCGACGCCGCGUGAUUUAGAAGGCCUUCGGGUUGUAAAAAUCUUUUGUAUAGGAAGAAAAUGACAGUACUAUACGAAUAAGGUCCGGCUAAUUACGUGCCAGCAGCCGCGGUAAUACGUAAGGACCGAGCGUUGUCCGGAAUCAUUGGGCGUAAAGGGUACGUACGCGGCUAGAAAAGUUAGAAGUCAAAGGCUAUAGCUCAACUAUAGUAAGCUUCUAAAACUAUUUAGCUUGAGAAAUGGGAAGGGAAAGUGGAAUUUCCUAGUGUAGCGGUGGAAUGCGCAGAUAUUAGGGAGAAUACCGGUGGCGAAGGCGACUUUCUGGCCAUUAUCUGGCGCUGAGGUACGAAAGCGUGGGUAGCAAACAGGAUUAGAUACCCUGGUAGUCCACGCCGUAAACGAUGAGUGUUAGGUGUCUGGAGUCAAAUCUGGGUGCCGCAGCAAACGCAUUAAACACUCCGCCUGGGGAGUACGCACGCAAGUGUGAAACUCAAAGGAAUUGACGGGGACCCGCACAAGCAGCGGAGCAUGUGGUUUAAUUCGACGCAACGCGAAGAACCUUACCAAGUCUUGACAUAUUACAGAAGCAGUUAGAGAUAAUUGCUUACAUCUUCGGAUGACUGUAAUACAGGUGGUGCAUGGUUGUCGUCAGCUCGUGUCGUGAGAUGUUGGGUUAAGUCCCAUAACGAGCGCAACCCCUAUUGCUAGUUACCAUCAUUAAGUUGGGGACUCUAGUAAUACUGCCGGUGACAAACCGGAGGAAGGUGGGGAUGACGUCAAAUCAUCAUGCCCUUUAUGACUUGGGCUACACACGUGCUACAAUGGCAGGUACACAGGGAAGCAAGACUGCGAAGUUAAGCGAAACUCAAAAAGCCUGUCCCAGUUCGGAUUGCACUCUGCAACUCGAGUGCAUGAAGUUGGAGUUGCUAGUAAUCGUGGAUCAGAAUGCCGCGGUGAAUGCGUUCCCGGGUCU
rnacentral:rRNA from 1 species